UACGGGGGGGGCAAGCGUUGUUCGGAAUUACUGGGCGUAAAGGGCUCGUAGGCGGCCAACUAAGUCGGAUGUGAAAUCCCCAGGCUCAACCUGGGAACUGCAUCCGAUACUGGAUGGCUUGAAUUCGGGAGAGAGAUGCAGAAUUCCAGGUGUAGCAGUGAAAUGCGUAGAUAUCUGGAGGAAUACCGGUGGCGAAGGCGGCAUCCUGGACCGACAUUGACGCUGAUGAGCGAAAGCUAGGGGAGCAAACGGG
rnacentral:rRNA from 1 species